UGGGCAACCUGCCCUCAGCUCUGGGAUAACUCCGGGAAACCGGGGCUAAUACCGGAUACUCUCAGCCGGCCGCAUGACCGGCUGAGGAAAGCUCCGGCGGUCUGGGAUGGGCCCGCGGCCUAUCAGCUUGUUGGUGAGGUAAUGGCUCACCAAGGCGACGACGGGUAGCCGGCCUGAGAGGGUGACCGGCCACACUGGGACUGAGACACGGCCCAGACUCCUACGGGA
rnacentral:rRNA from 1 species